CCAAGUUUCUGCCCUAUCAUGCUUUCGAUGGUAGUGUAUUGGACUACCAUGGCUCUCACGGGUAACGGGGAUUUAGGGUUCGAUUCCGGAGAAGGAGCCUGAGAAACGGCUACUACAUCUACGGAAGGCAGCAGGCGCGUAAAUUACC
rnacentral:rRNA from 1 species